GAAUUGCAGAACUCCGUGAACCAAUAGCACCCUGAACUCGCAUUGCACUCUUGGGACACGCCUGAGAGUAUGUCUGCUUCAGUGCUUUUCAUAUCUUCGCAGUGCGGGCUUCCUGGAGAAGCCUUGAGCCUCUUUGCGCGCUGCUGCAUCAGAAUUUGCAGCGGCGCGCUGAACACAAACCGGGAGGUAAGCUGGACUGAUUUGUCGCGCAUCACUGGGCACGUGUGUCCGUUUUGGCCCAAUCAUGCCAGCCUGCCAAGCAAUUGGUGCUCAAAUACCAAUCUUAGCAUGAAGUCAGACAAGCAAACCCGCUGAACUUAAGCAUAUGGAUCCC
rnacentral:rRNA from 1 species